rnacentral:rRNA from 1 species
UGGGGAAUAUUGCACAAUGGGGGAAACCCUGAUGCAGCGACGCCGCGUGGAGGAAGAAGGUCUUCGGAUUGUAAACUCCUGUUGUUGAGGAAGAUAAUGACGGUACUCAACAAGGAAGUGACGGCUAACUACGUGCCAGCAGCCGCGGUAAAACGUAGGUCACAAGCGUUGUCCGGAAUUACUGGGUGUAAAGGGAGCGCAGGCGGGAGAACAAGUUGGAAGUGAAAUCCAUGGGCUCAACCCAUGAACUGCUUUCAAAACUGUUUUUCUUGAGUAGUGCAGAGGUAGGCGGAAUUCCCGGUGUAGCGGUGGAAUGCGUAGAUAUCGGGAGGAACACCAGUGGCGAAGGCGGCCUACUGGGCACCAACUGACGCUGAGGCUCGAAAGUGUGGGUAGCAAACAGGAUUAGAUACCCUGGUAGUCCACACCGUAAACGAUGAUUACUAGGUGUUGGAGGAUUGACCCCUUCAGUGCCGCAGUUAACACAAUAAGUAAUCCACCUGGGGAGUACGACCGCAAGGUUGAAACUCAAAGGAAUUGACGGGGGCCCGCACAAGCAGUGGAGUAUGUGGUUUAAUUCGACGCAACGCGAAGAACCUUACCAAGUCUUGACAUCCCUUGACGAUGCUGGAAACAGCAUUUCUCUUCGGAGCAAGGAGACAGGUGGUGCAUGGUUGUCGUCAGCUCGUGUCGUGAGAUGUUGGGUUAAGUCCCGCAACGAGCGCAACCCUUAUGGUCAGUUACUACGCAAGAGGACUCUGGCCAGACUGCCGUUGACAAAACGGAGGAAGGUGGGGAUGACGUCAAAUCAUCAUGCCCUUUAUGACUUGGGCUACACACGUACUACAAUGGCGUUAAACAAAGAGAAGCAAGACCGCGAGGUGGAGCAAAACUCAAAAACAACGUCUCAGUUCAGAUUGCAGGCUGCAACUCGCCUGCAUGAAGUCGGAAUUGCUAGUAAUCGCGGAUCAGCAUGCCGCGGUGAAUACGUUCCC